rnacentral:rRNA from 1 species
AAGCGGAGGAAAAGAAACUAACAAGGAUUCCCCUAGUAACGGCGAGUGAAGAGGGAAGAGCUCAAAUUUGAAAUCUGGCGGUCUACGGCCGUCCGAGUUGUAGUUUAGAGAGGUGUUAUCCGUGGCGGACCGUGUACAAGUCCCUUGGAACGGGGCGUCAUAGAGGGUGAGAAUCCCGUCCAUGACACGGACUACCGUCGCUUUGUGAUGCGCCUUCAAAGAGUCGAGUUGUUUGGGAAUGCAGCUCAAAAUGGGUGGUAAAUUCCAUCUAAAGCUAAAUACAGGCGAGAGACCGAUAGCGAACAAGUACCGUGAGGGAAAGAUGAAAAGCACUUUGGAAAGAGAGUUAAACAGUACGUGAAAUUGUUGAAAGGGAAACGCUUGAAGUCAGUCGCGUCUGCCGGGACUCAGCCUUGCUUCUGCUUGGUGCAUUUCCUGGCAYGAYGGGCCAGCAUCAAUUUUGGCUGUCGGACAAAGGCGGGGGGAAGGUGGCACCUUYGGGUGUGUUAUAGCCCUCCGUUGUAUACGUCGGCUGGGAUUGAGGAUUGCAGCGYGCCCUUGUGGUCGGGGGUUCGCCCCACGCAACGCGCUUAGGAUGCUGGCGUAAUGGCUUUAAACGAC